AGGACGAACGCUGGCGGCGUGCCUAACACAUGCAAGUCGAACGGAGUCAGAAAGCUUGCUUUUGACUUAGUGGCGGACGGGUGAGUAACGCGUGAGUAACCUGCCUCUGAGAGGGGAAUAACGUUCUGAAAAGAACGCUAAUACCACAUAACGUAUCGAAGCCGCAUGACUUUGAUACCAAAGAUUUUAUCGCUCGGAGAUGGGCUCGCGUCCGAUUAGUUAGUUGGUGAGGUAACGGCUCACCAAGACCGCGAUCGGUAGCCGGACUGAGAGGUUGAUCGGCCACAUUGGGACUGAGACACGGCCCAGACUCCUACGGGAGGCAGCAGUGGGGAAUAUUGGGCAAUGGGCGCAAGCCUGACCCAGCAAUGCCGCGUGAAGGAAGACGGUUUUCGGAUUGUAAACUUCUUUUAACAGGGACGAUAAUGACGGUACCUGUUGAAUAAGCUCCGGCUAACUACGUGCCAGCAGCAGC
rnacentral:rRNA from 1 species